AAGGCCAUGGAAGCUUUGCUUCUAUGCGCUGGCUACAAGGAGCAGGCCACCUUCAUGAUGAAGCAUGGCCGCUGGGACCUGCUCAUGAGCUCCGACACGCACCACAAAGGUGUCUGCCUGCUUGCCCGGGCCAUGGUUUCGCUCAAUUUCCAGGAGCGAAACUGGAUUUUCCACCAUCUCGUGGCCAUCCUCAACGAUCGGGACGAUAGGCGGUACGUCCCGGCCGUGGCGCUCUUCAUUCAGCUCCUCAAGUGCCCUGACCUUGGCAGCGAGCUGGAAGACGCCAUCGUGGAGGAGAUGGGCAGGCUGCUGAGAGACCCCAAGACAGUGGUGCGCUGGUUGGCGCUCAAAGGCCUCCUCAAUCUGGCCCUUCGCCCAGAGAAGGUGGGGAAACUCCAGCAUCUGCUGCCAGAUGUCCUGGAGCGACUCCAGGAGGCAGACAGAGACCUCAUCCGCAAGGCCAUCGCCGUGCUGAAACACCUCCUCGCCGGCAUGGACAGGCAGAGCGCCAGCCACGCGGCUGUGCAAGUGGCUGCGCAACUCCUGCCGUUGUUUCAUGAUGUAAGGCCUGGCAGCUCACAGGAGAUCCCAUCAAACUGCGGACAUGUGACCAGCAAGCUCCAGGUGCUCUCCAUCACCCUUUUUAAAGACCUGCUGGAGCUUGUAAGGGGGCCCAACCGGAGGCAGAUGAAGGAGCAUGUGCUCCAGAGCCUGGUCCCACUGCUCCUCCUUGUGCAUGAUGAGCGUCCCAACGUGUCCCAGGUGUGUUGGGACACCCUCAGCAGUGCCGCCCAAUUCCUGAGGUGGCACCAGCUCAGUGACCUCAUCCAGCACAAGGAAACCUGGCGAAGCUGUGACUGCCUGGUGAUCCACUACAAGGAGAGAGCUGAUGACUUCCUGGGCCAGACCAUGGCCUUCCUGCAGAACCCACAGACUCCAGUUAGGGAAGCAGCCAUCAGGUUCCUAGGGCUCACUGCCCGGCAGCUGGACCAGGGGAGCCAGGACAAGCUGGACGCCAUCUGCGACAACCUCAAAGGCUUGCAGCAGGACAGCAAGUCCUCAGUCCGAUGCCUGGCUUCUCAGACCAUCUGCAUCCUGGAGGCCUUCAAGAACCAGCCUCCAGCCUGCUGCAGCCUAUGGACAUUGGUCCAUAGGAUAAGAACAAUGUGCACUGCGGAGAGCCAGCUCAUUGAAGCUGCCCAGCUGCCCUAGCUCUGGGAAAAGCCAGCCUCCCUUCUCUGGGGGCUUGGUGCAUCAGAGCCCACCUGGAGCAAGGUGGAACACAUGGCUUCUUCCCAAUUGGCCGCCUGCCCUGCCCAGCCAUCUCCUUGAACUUUUUCAUGGUCCAAAGCGAACAACAACCCUGGAACCCAUGCACACAUGGAAUUGGCGUGUAGGAAGGAGCCCAGGGAAGCUGAACUGGGUUCAGAUGUAUUAUUGACUACAAGCCAGCCAGCGUGUUAUGGUUGGACUUUCCCUGCUGACCCAGUGGCGGACCACUCCACCGCUGUUAGGGCCCUGAGCUGGGACACAGUGGAACGAGAGGGCCUGGGUUCCUCUACCCCUACCACCCCAACGUCAGGAGUGGCAGCCUCCCCACCUGGUU